GUCAAUAACCCCAACCUACUGCGUUGUUCGCGUAGCGUGGCCUACGGCCAGGUUGGGGCUUGGAGAGACAACUAACUCUCCCAGGUUUGACUAGGUCAUCGAGCCUCAUUCUGGUACGCACGUACGGAUACUUCCCCAGUCCGUACCACUGUA
rnacentral:sRNA from 14 species